rnacentral:rRNA from 1 species
AGCUCUCAACUGCUUUAGCUUGUUAUGGUUGAAGUGAAGUUGGAUUUGGAGGAAUGAUUAUUGCUGGCGUGACCUUUUCAGGUUGCUUGUUAGCUCCUCUUAAAUGGAUGAACUUUCCAGUAGUAAAAUAACACCAAUGUGAUAAUUAUCUACGUUGGAUGUGCUUUUUACAAGGAAAGAUAUAUCUGUCUUGAAGGCAAACACCUCUUGACGAAACAAAUGACAAAUUUGACCUCAAAUCAGGUAGGACUACCCGCUGAACUUAAGCAUAUCAAUAAGCGGAGGAAAAGAAACUAACAAGGAUUCCCCUAGUAACUGCGAGUGAAGCGGGAAAAGCUCAAAUUUAAAAUCUGGCGUUCCUUUGGUCGU